AUUGAACGCUGGCGGCAUGCCUUACACAUGCAAGUCGAACGGUAACAGGUCUUCGGAUGCUGACGAGUGGCGAACGGGUGAGUAGUACAUCGGAACGUGCCCGAUCGUGGGGGAUAACGAGGCGAAAGCUUUGCUAAUACCGCAUACGAUCUACGGAUGAAAGCGGGGGAUCUUCGGACCUCGCGCGGACGGAGCGGCCGAUGGCAGAUUAGGUAGUUGGUGGGAUAAAAGCUUACCAAGCCGACGAUCUGUAGCUGGUCUGAGAGGAUGAUCAGCCACACUGGGACUGAGACACGGCCCAGACUCCUACGGGAGGCAGCAGUGGGGAAUUUUGGACAAUGGGCAAAAGCCUGAUCCAGCCAUGCCGCGUGCAGGAUGAAGGCCUUCGGGUUGUAAACUGCUUUUGUACGGAACGAAAAGCCUCUUUCUAAUAAAGAGGGGUCAUGACGGUACCGUAAGAAUAAGCACCGGCUAACUACGUG
rnacentral:rRNA from 1 species